AGAGUUUGAUCCUGGCUCAGGAUGAACGCUGGCGGCGUGCUUAACACAUGCAAGUCGAACGAAGCACAUUGGAUUGAUUCUUCGGAAGAAAGAAGAUGUGACUUAGUGGCGGACGGGUGAGUAACGCGUGGGUAACCUGCCUCACACAGGGGGAUAACAGUUGGAAACGACCGCUAAUACCGCAUAAGCCGACGAAGCCGCAUGGCCUUGCCGGAAAAGAAUUAUCGGUGUGAGAUGGACCCGCGUCUGAUUAGAUAGUUGGCAGGGUAACGGCCUACCAAGUCGACGAUCAGUAGCCGGCCUGAGAGGGUGAACGGCCACAUUGGGACUGAGACACGGCCCAAACUCCUACGGGAGGCAGCAGUGGGGAAUAUUGCACAAUGGGGGAAACCCUGAUGCAGCGACGCCGCGUGAGUGAAGAAGUAUUUCGGUAUGUAAAGCUCUAUCAGCAGGGAAGAACAUGACGGUACCUGACUAAGAAGCCCCGGCUAACUACGUGCCAGCAGCCGCGGUAAUACGUAGGGGGCAAGCGUUAUCCGGAUUUACUGGGUGUAAAGGGAGCGUAGACGGCGAAGCAAGUCAGGAGUGAAAGCCCGGGGCUUAACCGCGGGACUGCUCUUGAAACUGUUUUGCUGGAGUGCAGGAGAGGUAAGCGGAAUUCCUAGUGUAGCGGUGAAAUGCGUAGAUAUUAGGAGGAACACCAGUGGCGAAGGCGGCUUACUGGACUGUAACUGACGUUGAGGCUCGAAAGCGUGGGGAGCAAACAGGAUUAGAUACCCUGGUAGUCCACGCCGUAAACG
rnacentral:rRNA from 1 species